AACAUGUUUUCAAUAUUCAAAAGAUGGCGCUGAAUUUUUAUUCUAUCUCUUUUUCUUAUUAUUUGCUUGGUUUCCCUGAACUGUGUAUUGUAUAAAAUCAAGUUUACUAAUGCUACAUGAAAACGAUAGCUGUACAGGGAAUUAAAUCUUCGAAAUAGUAUUGAGGCAAAUAGGUUAACCUUUAUAACAAUUUUGUUUACUAGUAAUUCUAUAAACAAUAUUAUUAAAUAAUGGUUAAAUUAACACCAGAUUUAAUUCAACAAUCCAUGCAAUAUAUUAAUCCUGUAAAAGAUCGGGAAUUGGAUCUUAGAGGGUAUAAAAUACCUACAAUUGAAAAUUUGGGCGCAACUUUGGAUCAAUUUGACACUAUUGAUUUUUCUGAUAAUGAUAUAAGAAAAUUAGAUGGAUUUCCUUUAUUAAAAAGGAUCAAAACUCUUUUUUUUAAUAAUAAUCGUAUUGUCAGAAUUGGAGAAGGAUUAGAACAUUGUAUUCCAAAUUUGGAAACUCUUAUGUUAACUGGAAAUAUGAUUCAAGAACUUGGUGAUUUAGAACCACUCACACAAUUAAAAAAUUUAACUAAUCUAUGUUUGCUACAAAAUCCAGUUUCCGCAAAACCUCAAUAUAGACAAUAUGUUGUAUAUAGAUUUCCACAAUUGAGACUUUUAGAUUUCCGAAAAAUCAAGAUGAAAGAACGUGAAGCUGCAGUUGCAUAUUUUAGAAGUAAAAGAGGAAAAGAAAUGGUUCGUGAAAUAGCAAAGAAAGUAAAAACACAAAAUUCUGGAACAUCUAUAGACAAACCAUUAACAACUCCAGAAGAACGAAAUAAAAUUAGGGAAGCUAUUACAAAUGCUUCUUCCCUUGAAGAAGUGCAGCGUCUUAGUAAAUUACUUCAAGCAGGACAUAUGCCUAGUGAAGAUAGAUUACAAAAUGGAAAUACAAUGCCUGAAGCAAUGGAAGAAGAAGAUGAUUGAAUUAUUUUAUAUUUUUCAAUUUUAAAUACAACAAGAAAAAUUUUUUCUAUUAUUAUAAUAUCACCAGAGGUCGGUAUUGUGCGUUAUUCGCACUUUCUUGAUUCUAUGUUAUUUUUCCGACUAUAAUUUUAUAUUAAUAAAAUGGGUAAUACAUUACAAAAAGCGA
rnacentral:misc_RNA from 1 species